rnacentral:rRNA from 1 species
CUACGGAGGAUCCGAGCGUUAUCCGGAUUUAUUGGGUUUAAAGGGUGCGCAGGCGGCCAUUUAAGUCAGCGGUUAAAUCGUGGGGCUCAACCCCAUUCUGCCGUUGAUACUGGGUGGCUUGAUUGCGGUCGAGGUUGGCGGAAUUCGUUGUGUAGCGGGGAAAUGCAUAGAUAUGACGAAGGACACCGAUUGCGUAGGCAGCUGACCAGACCGCAAAUGACGCUCAUGCACGAAAGUGCGGGGAUCGAACAGGAUUAGAUACCCUGGUAGUCCGCACAGUAAACGAUGAAUACUUGUUUUCGGCGAUAUAAUGUCGGAGGCAAAGCGAAAGCGAUAAGUAUUCCACCUGGGGAGUACGCCGGCAACGGUGAAACUCAAAUGAAUUGACGGGG